UAAUACGGAGGGUGCAAGCGUUGUCCGGAUUUAUUGGGUUUAAAGGGUGCGUAGGUGGCCCUAUAAGUCAGUGGUGAAAGUCUGCAGCUUAACUGUAGAACUGCCAUUGAUACUGUAGGGCUUGAGUACUGAUGAGGUAGGCGGAAUUGAUAGUGUAGCGGUGAAAUGCAUAGAUAUUAUCAAGAACACCGAUUGCGAAGGCAGCUUACUAAGGAGUUACUGACACUGAGGCACGAAAGCGUGGGGAUCAAACAGGAUUAGAUACCCUGGUAGUCCACGCCAUAAACGAUGAUUACUCGAUGUAUGCGAUAGACUGUAUGCGUCCAAGCGAAAGCGUUAAGUAAUCCACCUGGGGAGUACGACCGCAAGGUUG
rnacentral:rRNA from 1 species